rnacentral:tRNA from 1 species
GCGGAAAUAGUUCAGUUGAUAGACCUCCACCUUGCCAAGGUGGAGGUCGCGGGUUUGAGUCCCGUUUUCCGCUCCA